GUAAAAAUGAAAUGCAGCUUAGGCCUGUAACACACUACUGCGAUGCAAUGCGAUGCGAUGCUUUCAAAAACGUAGCAUCGCAUCGCAUUUCAACAUAAGACAACACACUACAUAAUAUAUCUCCGUGGUGUGCAUGUUUUCAACGUUAUCAUGUACCCAUCACCAGAAUUAGAUUAACAAUUUUGAUCUUGUAAAUAACGUAGAAGAAUCAUAAAUUUGUGGUUUGUCACUAAAGAAUAAUAGUGAGAACUGUAUUUCCAUUGUAGGAAGUAAUUUGGAAGUCAAAUUUUGUGAUCUUGGCCAACUCACUUGCACUUCAAUCAUUCGUCUGUGUGCUUAAUAUUCUCAAGUGUUGCUAUUAUUUUUCAAUAAUACUUAUGUGAUGAAGAAAUCUUUUCAAAAAAGAAUAGAAAAUAAAUCACAAUAAUAAUUUUUUCGUUCAUGUACUGCUAAAAUUACAAGUGCAUCUCUCUUAUCAGAUUAUCACAAUUCGUGGAGGUAAAAUCAACCAAUCACAGGAAAGCAUCGCAUGCGACGUCUCAGACUUUUGUACAUCAACUACAAACCUUGCUACGCGUUGCAAGGAUUUAGCCUUCUGAAAAACGUCCCAUCGCAUCGCAUCUCAUAGUGUGUUGUCCGCCAUAUACUUCAAUGCAACUAACAUUGCGAUGGGACGUUUGAAAAUGUUGCAUCGCAUCGCAUCGCAGUAGUGUGUUACGGGCCUUAGUAUUCUCAGUGCAUCUGUAUCCUGAAAGAUAACUGAAACAUUUUAGGAAAAUAAUAAAAGUUGUGUGAUAAGUUAAGUAGAAAUUUUUUGAAUAUUUCAUAAAUUAGUAGGUAGGUAGGUAGGUAGGUACAUAUAUUACUUUAUUCACAAUGGCCAGCACCAGUGGUUCAAAUAUUCAUCUAAAGCUCUGGACGAAUGUGACGAUCCGGAACCUUCGAAAGGCGAAGAAGUAUUAAAGAUGUCCAUCGAUGAAAUGAUCAGUCGGAUUAGAUCACUCGAAGAAGAGGUGAAAAGUAUGAAAGGACUUGAAAAUGAGGUGAAGAGCAUGAAAGACGAAAUUAUGAGAAUAUCGCCCAAGAUGAUUCAAGCAAAUGAAAAAGUCAAAGAAAACACGGAGAAAAUUGACAAGACGUUACCGUAUUUGGUUUCUCAAGUAAUAGAAUUGUCACAUAUAUCAAAUAUCUAUCCUCGAAAUGCCGAAGAACAUGCAGCCCGUGCAGCUGUUUUAGAUUUAUACCCUCGAAGGAGAGGAGGAGGAAUAAUAAUAAAUGAUAUCCUGACAUUCCUGACGGAUGGACGUCGCGUAUUUGUUGAGUUUGUGAUCCCAGUGAUCAUUGCAAUCAGCUCUGUAGAAAUUUUGCAGAUAACGUAUUUUUAUUUAUUCGACAAAGCAAAAUUGGACACACAUGUAAUGUGGAUCUAUCGAAUUCUAGAUAAUAUUUUAUCUUCUGUCAAGAACUACUUAUUGUAUUUCAUUAAUGAUCCAAGUUCGGUGUUCAAUUAUUUGUACCUAGUUAUACCUAUUUUUUUAUUUAUUUUUAUUUUUUAUAUAAUACUACCAGAGUAAUAUUUUCAAUUUGAAUUAUAUUGUUUGGUUUGAAAAUAGUUGAAAUGUUUUUAGUUACAAAAAUGUGUUCAAAACUUAAUUCUUGAAAUAUGAAAUUAGUUUCAGUAUAAAAAUGUUCUAUUAAAAAUACUUACUCUUU